GGAGGGAUCAUUACACAAUAUGAAAGCGGGCUGGCAUCCUUCGGGGUUACAGCCUUGCUGAAUUAUUCACCCGUGUCUUUUGCGUACUUCUUGUUUCCUUGGUGGGUUCGCCCACCAUAGGACAAACCAUAAACCUUUUGUAAUUGCAAUCAGCGUCAGUAAAAAAAAAUUAAUAAUUACAACUUUUAACAACGGAUCUCUUGGUUCUGGCAUCGAUGAAGAACGCAGCGAAAUGCGAUAAGUAGUGUGAAUUGCAGAAUUCAGUGAAUCAUCGAAUCUUUGAACGCACAUUGCGCCCUUUGGUAUUCCAAAGGGCAUGCCUGUUCGAGCGUCAUUUGUACCCUCAAGCUUUGCUUGGUGUUGGGCGUCUUGUCUCCAGUUCGCNNGGAGACUCGCCUUAAAGUAAUUGGCAGCCGGCCUACUGGUUUCGGAGCGCAGCACAAGUCGCGCUCUCUUCCAGCCAAGGUCAGCAUCCACAAAGCCUUUUUUCAACUUUUGAC
rnacentral:rRNA from 1 species